rnacentral:rRNA from 1 species
CCUACGGGUGGCUGCAGUAGGGAAUAUUGGUCAAUGGACGCAAGUCUGAACCAGCCAUGCCGCGUGCAGGAAGACGGCCCUCUGGGUUGUAAACUGCUUUUGAUAGGGAACAAAUGCCACUUGCGAGUGGAGCUGAGUGUACCUAUAGAAUAAGCACCGGCUAACUCCGUGCCAGCAGCCGCGGUAAUACGGAGGGUGCAAGCGUUGUCCGGAUUUAUUGGGUUUAAAGGGUGCGUAGGCGGCUCAUUAAGUCAGUGGUGAAAGCCUCCAGCUUA